CACAUAUUUGUAACAUUCGCCGCUCAGUGAGCCGCCAAACGCUGAGUGCUCUUUUAGUUUUCAAUUAUGGC
ensembl:ncRNA C09B7.5 ncRNA